UUUACGAUACUAUGUAUGCAUAUAUAAUAUAUUUAUAUAGUGUAUUGUAUUUCAUUUUAUUUUAUUUUCAAAAGCUCCACGGCACGAGCAUAUUUACGCAAUUGAUUAUCGAUCAUAGGUAGGUAUAUAUAUCAUCUAAUUAACGACUGGCGCGGACUUCGUCCCUACCGUCAAUUAGUCACUACUUGCCAAGUACGAUAUGCGUUAGUUACGAUACAUAACUCACCUACGAGUGUCUCUUCUUCGAUUAGAAAUAAGAAG